rnacentral:tRNA from 1 species
GGCACUGUAGCUCAGUUGGUAGAGCACUUGCUUAACAUGUGAUUCGCAAGUUGUCCUCGGUUCGAGCCCGGGCAGAGUCA